GAUGAACGCUGGCGGCGUGCCUAAUACAUGCCAGUCGAACGGAGUGGCGAACGGGUGAGUAACACGUGGGUGACCUGCCCUGCACUUCGGGAUAAACCUGGGAAACUGGGUCUAAUACCGGAUAGUGUGGGAUGGGCCCGGGGCCUAUCAGCUUGUUGGUGGGGUAAUGGCCUACGAAGGCGGCGACGGGUAGCCGGCCGGAGAGGGUGGCCGGCCACAUUGGGACUAGUACACGGCCCAGACUCCUACGGGAGGCAGCAGUGGGGAAUAGUGCACAAUGGGCGGGAGCCUGAUGCAGCGGCGCCGCGUGGGGGAUGGCGGCCUUCGGGUUGUAAACUCCUUUCACCAUCGACGCGGUAGAUGGAGAAGAAGCACCGGCUAACUACGUGCCAGCAGCCGCGGUAAUUC
rnacentral:rRNA from 1 species